rnacentral:rRNA from 1 species
ACUCCUACGGGGAGGGCAGCAGUGAGGAAUAUUGGUCAAUGGGAGGGAACUCUGAACCCAGCCAUCCCGCGUGUAGGAAGACGGGCCUUUAUGGGUUGUAAACUUACUUUUAUACAGGGAAGAAACGUACCCUCGUGAGGGUGCCUGACGGUACUGUAGGAAUAAGCACCGGCUAACUCCGUGCCAGCAGCCGCGGUAAUACGGAGGGUGCGA